rnacentral:lncRNA from 1 species
CUGAUGGAGUCUUAUCUACAUGUCAACAGAUUUUUCUCAUAGUGGGAAUUGUGCAUGUAAAUCUUUUGACCUGAGACUGCCAUGGAACCUUAUAAGCAUGAAUCCAUAUUUUGGAUCAUACUCAUUCAUGAUUUAAUCAUGUACGGGGUGUUCUGAAUAUGAUAGAUUGCUUAUGAAGGUUGUGAGUAGGUCAAUAUGGAAACGAUCUCUCCUAGUAAGAGAAGAUCGCAUCCU